AGCGAACGCUGGCGGCAGGCUUAACACAUGCAAGUCGAGCGGGCACUUCGGUGUCAGCGGCAGACGGGUGAGCAACACGUGGGAACGUACCCUUCGGUUCGGAAUAACGCUGGGAAACUAGCGCUAAUACCGGAUACGCCCUUUUGGGGAAAGGUUUACUGCCGAAGGAUCGGCCCGCGUCUGAUUAGCUAGUUGGUGGGGUAAUGGCCUACCAAGGCGACGAUCAGUAGCUGGUCUGAGAGGAUGAUCAGCCACACUGGGACUGAGACACGGCCCAGACUCCUACGGGAGGCAGCAGUGGGGAAUAUUGGACAAUGGGCGCAAGCCUGAUCCAGCCAUGCCGCGUGAGUGAUGAAGGCCUUAGGGUUGUAAAGCUCUUUUGUCCGGGACGAUAAUGACGGUACCGGAAGAAUAAGCCCCGGCUAACUUCGUG
rnacentral:rRNA from 1 species